rnacentral:sRNA from 1 species
GAGAAACUCAGCACCCCCGGGACUGUCCGUCGCAAAAUCCAACAUGAAAAUCCUCGUGGCCUUGGCAGUCUUUUUUCUUGUCUCCACUCAGCUGUUUGCAGAAGAAAUAGGAGCCAAUGAUGAUCUGAAUUACUGGUCCGACUGGUCCGACAGCGACCAGAUCAAGGUGAGGCCCCUUCCCAGGACGGCCCGCACCCUUCUUCCUGGGCUCGGGAGCUGUCACCUUCCCACGCAACAGCACCCUAGUUAACGUGGCAGGCACCGCCACCACGGAAAGAGGCAGCGGUUGCGUGCGAGAGGAUGGAAAGGGGCACUAUUUCCCGGGUUCCCCACGGGAUUUUGUGCCCACGAUUCAAGUUUCUUCCCGUGGGCUGCACCGUCCGGCCCAGGAACUCCCUGCAGUAGGGAUGCCCUCCCGGAUGAGCCCGAGAUCCUCACAAGGAGGGAAAUCUCGUAAGAUUUCAUCCCCCAGGACCUGGGAUUUCGGGGGCUCGGGUCCAGCUGCACUGCCCUAGCGUCUG